rnacentral:misc_RNA from 1 species
UAUCUGAAGUUGAUGCUACAGCCACGUCAAAAGUGCAGAAUUCUUUGCCCUCACGUGCAUGCUGAACAUUAUUCCACCUUGUCUGCAAGUGAACCACAGAUUCUUCCAGGUCAGGGGCAAAAAGCUGUUGCAUUUGAGCAGCUAAACGUGUCAAUCCACUAGCUGUAUCAUGGCAAGUGUUCAGAACAAUCUGUGACUCUGAACAAUCAAUUUCCCAAAGAGCACCACUUCCAGAACUGAUUCUUAAAAGAGCUUCAACAUCUGACCCUUGAGCAACUUUAACAUAUCCCGUCUUGCGAAGAUGCUCCACACUGUAGACACUGCCAGCACAGUUCGGUGCACGCACUGCAGAAAGAAGCAGACCCAGAUCCUGUGCAGUAAUUUUGUAAUCCUUGAUAACAGAAUCAGCAAAGGUUGUACUGGAAAACCUCAAGGAAGAUGCAGCCAACAGACAUGCUACAUGUUGCUCAUCUAUUGCUUCCUCACAAUUGGGAGAACUUGACUGAGA